rnacentral:rRNA from 1 species
GACGAACGCUGGCGGCGUGCUUAACACAUGCAAGUCGAACGGAAAGGCCCUGCUUUUGUGGGGUGCUCGAGUGGCGAACGGGUGAGUAACACGUGAGUAACCUGCCCUUGACUUUGGGAUAACUUCAGGAAACUGGGGCUAAUACCGGAUAGGAGCUCCUGCUGCAUGGUGGGGGUUGGAAAGUUUCGGCGGUUGGGGAUGGACUCGCGGCUUAUCAGCUUGUUGGUGGGGUAGUGGCUUACCAAGGCUUUGACGGGUAGCCGGCCUGAGAGGGUGACCGGCCACCUUGGGACUGAGAUACGGCCCAGACUCCUACGGGAGGCAGCAGUCGGGAAUAUUGCACAAUGGGCGGAAGCCUGAUGCAGAAACGCCGCGUGCGGGAUGACGGCCUUCGGGUUGUAAACCGCUUUCGCCUGUGACGAAGCGUGAGUGACGGUAAUGGGUAAAGAAGCACCGGCUAACUGCGUG